GACGAACGCUGGCGGCGUGCUUAACACAUGCAAGUCGAGCGGUAAGGCCUCGUAGGGGGUCCACGGGCGGCGAACGGGGGGGUAACACGUCGGUGACCUGCCCUCAGCUGUUAGAUAAGCCUGGGAAACUGGGUCUAAUACCGGAGAUGACGUUUCCUCGCAUGGGGAUUGGUGGGAAGUUUUUUUGGCUGGGGAUGGGCCCACGGCCUAUCAGCUUGUUGGUGGGGUGAUGGCCUACCAAGGCGACGACCGGUAGCCGGGCUGAGAGGGCGACCGGACAAACCUGGAAUGGGGCACGGCCCAGGAUCCUUCGGGGGGGAGGAGGGGGGAAUAUUGCGCAAUGGGCGGAAGGCUGAAGGAGCGACGACGCGUGGGGGAUGACGGCCUUCGGGUUGUAAAACUCUUUCGAUCCCGACGAAUUUGGACGGUAGGGGUAGAAGAAGCACCGGCUAACUACGUG
rnacentral:rRNA from 1 species